rnacentral:lncRNA from 1 species
CAAGGAGCUUGCUCAAGUACAUAGAGCUUAAUUAUUAUGGUAGUGACGUGGAUCUUCGUUUUAGCUUUGGAAUCGAGGUAGGGGUUUCUUGGGGAACUUAUCACUACUAGGGUAUUUGUCUUGUUUAAGUUUUGUGAAAUAUGUGUUAUACUUGAUAUAUCUCUAUAAUUGAUAUAAUUGUGUAUUUUGGAAUAUGAUAUUCAUAUUACUAAUCGUGAUAAUGUUGAUUAUAUGCAUAUGUCAUUGCAUAUUUGGAGUGGAAGGUUUUUAUUGGUUUAUUCAAGAUUGGGAUAUGGAAAUGGAAUUAUCUUUUGUGUGGUUGAGUUCGACUCUUGUAGGGACCAGCAAGGGUGGCAAAAGUGAAAUUAUAGGAAUGGUAUGAAGUAGUGGGGACUUUGGCAACCGAGAUGCAAACAAGAUGACCAACAAAAAGGGGUAUUUGGGACAACUAAGUUACGAGGGUUGGAUUGUAUUAUAUAGCAUUCAUACCACCGCUACAGUGGUAAAAUGCAUGGUAUGGGACAUGCAAGUUCGCGUGUUUUAUUAUAUAAAUUAACGGGUUGGGGUAAUUGAAGUUAAGUUGCAUUUCAUGGUUCAUCAUUUAAUUAAAUUGUGAUUAAUGAUAACAUGUUAUAAUCGAUUUUGUGAGCAUGACACUUGGUUUAGCCUUGACAAUUAUCCUUGAUAAGAUUUAUGUCCCUACUGAGCUAUGGUUUCACUCACCCUAUACAUUUUAGACCUUGCAGGUUCGGUACAAGAUUAAAGAAAGGUAGACGAGUUGACGUUGUGUUAGACGAGGGAUUUUAAGGAUUUUACUAUCUUGUACACCUGUAAGGAUUUUGGAGUUAUUUAUAAAAGAGAAGUUUGUUUUCCGUUUUUACUUUUAUUUUUACUCGCACCCCUGGCGCAAGGUCAUAUUUUUUCGUCGACUCUAGUCCGGGGCAUGACAU